UACAGAGGUCUCAAGCGUUGUUCGGAUUCAUUGGGCGUAAAGGGUGCGUAGGCGGCGCGGUAAGUCGGGUGUGAAAUCUCGGAGCUUAACUCCGAAACUGCAUUCGAUACUGCCGUGCUUGAGGACUGGAGAGGAGACUGGAAUUUACGGUGUAGCGGUGAAAUGCGUAGAUAUCGGGAGGAACACCAGUGGCGAAGGCGGCAUCCUGGCCCUGUCCUGACGCUCAGGGGCGAAAGCGUGGGGAGCAAACCGG
rnacentral:rRNA from 1 species